AAUUGCUUUUUGCUUUCGUCAUAAUUACACUUGUCUUCCACCACCACUACCCCGCAACUCAGUCUUAAGAAUCAGAGACAUCUCAGAUUAACACAGGUUCAAGACUCUGGAGCUGAAGAAGAAGAAGAUGUGACUUCCCUUCAUACCAUUUGUAAGUUCUUCUUCUUUCUGUUUCGGUUUCAAUUUCUCUAUGGUUAACUUCUUUGGAUUUGAAGAUAACAGAAAGUUGGAAAGUGAUGAGGAGAAGAAGAUGAGUUUCCUGUAAACUGGCUGGACGGCUGCAAUCCAAAGAAAAUGGAAUUCAGAAGAAAAUGAACUCAAUCAUCAUCCGAAUCAUGUAAAACUGCUAUAUAUGAGGUGGAGCAAAAAGGUUGGCUAUAGACUUUGGAGGAGGGCUCGUUUGCAGAGUGGUGUUUGUGAAUUGGUGCUUGGGUUGGGAAAAGGGGAAUCCGCUCCAAGCGUUUUGAGCAAGAAGCUCCUCUCCUGAAAAAUCCAACAUCAUAAGUGUGAACUUGAAUAUGUUGCCGAAAAAGUAACAGCUAUAAGGCAAAAUGAAGGUACAGAUGGUCUUACAGUCUGAGGAAAUGAGAAACAACAAAGUUUUCCGAGUUUAGUGUCACAGGAACUUUUGAACUAGCUGAGCUAAUUAUGUCAUCUGAUUUUGCAAUAAAAUUUUGGUGCAUAUUGCAAAUGAAAGAUAAUUUUAGCACUUCAGAGCCCAAGCAACAUGUAAAUUUCCGUAACUCCUGGUUUUAGCAGAAGAAUUUUCUCUAAGACAUCUAGAAACAAAAAUGUAAGUUCUGCUCUAUCUUUUGGUAGGAUCAUCUGCAUAACACAUUUAAGUUCUCCUCCAGAUCUGCAGCUACUAAUUAGCUAAUCUGAUUCUAAUGAUUCUACCGUCUUAGCAGUUGUUUAUCACUAAUAAACCCGGAAACUUCUAUUCAUGAAUUUGCUAGGAAAAUCUUUCCUAAAAUCCAGAGGUCAUUAUUACUGAAACCCCUUGCUCCAAUGAUUGUAAUUGGCUUCUUGAUUAGUUAACUAGAAGUCCUACAUAUGCUCCAAUAAAGUGAUCUCAGUAUCCUACUAGUGA